CCUGAAAGCAAUAUAGAGUUGAAUUUGUUAUUUCAGGACAAUAAGAUUUCAGUCUGAGGUGAUAGUCAAAUGCACUCUGUCCAAUGUGACACAUAAAAGCAUGUGUUUGUUGUGUAAUAGGCCUCUGUAAACGGUGUGGGGCAGUAAAAAGAAGCCUUGGUUGUUGGCCAUUAGGAUUACUGUAACAUAACAACCCUUCUUUUAUAGAAUAACCACUUUGAAGUGUUUGAUGGUUCUGUAAUAAAAGAGAAAGAUUAGGAUUCCUAUUAUGUUCUGCUUUUAAAUCUGGCACUUCUGAACCUUGAUC